rnacentral:rRNA from 1 species
CGUACGGGAUUAGAUACCCCGGUAGUCCUGGCCCUUUACGUAUGUCCACUAGCUCGGUGAGGUUCUAAUGCUUUGCUGGCCGUUACUAAAGCGUUAAGUGGUCCGCCUGGGGAGUACGGUCGCAAGGCUAAUACUCAAAGGAAUUGACGGGGGCUCACACAAGCGGUGGAGCAUGUUGCUUAAUUCGAUGCUACGCGAAGAACCUUAUCCUGGGCUUGACAUACACGGAUGCCCUCCUGGAAACAGGUCGGGUUGCCAUUCGGGGUGAAACGUACACAGGUGCUGCAUGGCUGUCGUCAGCUCGUGUCGUGAGAUGUUGGGUUAAGUCCCGUAACGAGCGAAACCCUUGUCGCUAGUUGCCAGCGCGUAAUGGCGGGGACUCUAGCGAGACUGCCGGUGUUAAACCGGAGGAAGGUGGGGAUGACGUCAAGUCCUCAUGGCCUUUAUGCCCAGGGCUGCAAACGUGCUACAAUGGUAGGGACAGAGCGACGCAAGACCGUGAGGUGGAGCAAAUCGCAAAAACCCUGCCCCAGUUCGGAUCGGAGUCUGCAACUCGACUCCGUGAAGUCGGAAUCGCUAGUAAUCGCGCAUCAGCGUGGCACGGUGAAUGUGUUCAUGAGCAUUGUACACACCGCCCGUCAAGUCAUGGAAGCUGGGAGCACCCGAAGUCGGGGCGAAUC